CACUUUUAAAUAUAAAUCAAAGAAAUAAGUUGCCUUAUAGCUCAGGCCACAGCCUUUUUGAAACUGAAUAUGGAGCUCACUUGUUAGUGGAAUUGUGCGAGUAUGCUGGCGAGCUCAACCCGCGGAUGUGUUUGGAAUUUUUGCUGUAGUUCCCCGGCAAUAUGUUGAGCCCGGCAACUCACUUUGCAGCAGGACUCGGGCCAAAGACACCAAAAAAAGCAAAAGGAUAUACAAAAAAACUGGCGACAGGACAACCCGCAGAUGAAACGCAUUUCGAGCUGCAUAUUGUUUUGUAAUUUCCACCAUGAUUUAUGACGCUCUUUGGGGUAACAAACCACUUUAAAACUUUAAAAUCGGUCUGUAAUAUAUAGUCAUCCAUCUGGAUGGGUAUGUGUGUCAGUGUUAGGAGGGAAACAAUGGAAAACAAAGCCUCAUUAUGGGCAACAACAAUUGCCAAAUCACUUGAUACGUAAUGCUGGCCAUAAAUAAAUCACACUGCAGCAGCAUAA